AAAAACUAUGGAGAAAAAGGAGGUCUGCCCAAGGCUGGACCGAAGUCAUCCUGCCCCUUCUUCAAAUGAGAGACACCUCCCAAGGCCAACGCCCUCCGGAGGGGCCCAGGUGCUCCUCCCUUCUGUCAUCUAUUCCGUCUGGCAUCUAUUCCUCUGUAAAGGAUCAGAAAGGAAGCCGCUGGCGCAAUGGACUCUGGACUUCAGGUAGACCUGACUGCUUUGGGGCAUCCUCAAUCGGGCGGUGAAGCCUCUGGGGGCAGAGGAGCGUCGUGGGAGAUGAGCGUCGUGGGAGAAAGACAAGCUAGGCUGAUGCUUCCCUACCCAUGCCAACUUCCCGCGUCUCUUCUUGAAACGAGAGCAGAGGCCUGAGACCCGGGCGCCAUUGCUGGCCAGGCUCCCCUCCCCCACACUCCUUUCUUUGCUUCUCGAAGACCCGGGAGGGAGGAGGCGGCGGGCGCCUCGGUGGAUAGAGCUGCUAUUGUGACCUUCCCGGGCUGAGCGGGGAACCCAGCGGAGUGUGUACUGCCCGCGGUGGCGGGGGAGGAGGUGACUGUGCAAGCCUCGAGUGCAGAGGGGUUGGCACCCGGGAAUAAAUAAAGGCUUGCAACCUCGGGCACUUGGACCCUUCGGAGAGCGUUUGGUUGUGUUUAGACUUGGGUGCUUCCUAACACUAAUUGCAGGCUCAAGAGGAGCGGAAUUUAUGGCGAAGGCCAAGGCGGCUUGUUUAUAAUUUAUGAAGUUUUAAAUGGUUGUGCCGCGGGCCCAGCUCUCUCGGGCGGGCGGCCGCGUGGGAGUGUGCCCUCCCAGAACUCGCCGCCGCCCCCACCCACGCUAGGAGUGAGUGUGCCUGUCACGUGACUCACGUUGGUGGCAGGGAAGAACCAAGCAAUUCUCUGAAGUCUCCAGAACUUCAGAAGGUAGGCGGCGAAGGCGGCAGGUUGGUCGAAGCGACCCCUCCCCCUUCUUCCAACAUCCUCCCUCCACCGCGGGGCCUGUGAGGCUGCGGCUGCCUAGACAGUGGGAACCCCCAACCUGACACUUCCUUAGAGCCUAUGUGUGAGAGGAAGCUGAUGUCAGCCGGGCUAGACACUGUUUAAAGUCUAAUCCAUGAAACCCUAAGCCACAGAUGACACUUGGGUUUUGCAGACACCCGCAGACUCAGCAGAUACUCCUGCGGUAACACACCGCGCUGGGAAACGCCUGGAGCCAUGAUGCAUUAUGUAUUUUUAUUAUUAUUUAUGGUAUGAAGAGGAGAUGAGAGAAGCCGGGCUGAAUCUAAACAGCCUGACAAUUCAUCUAUUUAAUAUUUAGCCAGUUAAGAAAGGUGGCUGUGGUUCCCUACGAGGCAGCUAGCAUUUCUUUGAUUUCCGGAAUAGCUUAAAAAAAUAAUUUCUUACAAUUAUAAAUUCUGUCUAGGAAUGCAAGGUUCAGAGAAAACAAUGUUAAGCCUUGAGAGUGGGUAAAAUAUGCCUUCGAUUGAAGUCAUUUAUUCUGUUGAUACAAUUCUACAACAUAUAUACUUUAAACUUGCUCAGAUAGAGUGAAAUUUAGCAAAAGGAUAACCCCUCCCACCCCCAACCUAACAUGCCAUUUUUAAAACAGCACAAAGGAACAUGGAAACUAAAUAUUCUUUUGAGCCAUCAUUACUGAGCGAAACACAAACAUCCAAAUAGAAAACGGUUGCUGUUGCACCAGAGGAGGAGAAGUUAUUUCCACACAAUGGGAAUUUCACCUCGUGUCACCAGGCUGGUAGUGGGAGUUGCAUAUUUGCCAAACCAACUAAAGAUGCGUGGGUGGACUUUGCUGAAAUACAAAAUAAUUGAACCUUGUCUGAAGGCCUUUUUCCAAGUGCUCCCUUCUAUAGAAGUGGGUGUAAGUGCUCGACCCUAGAGCCACACUAAUAAUAUUUACAAAACGAUUAUAAAUUCUGUAGACUAUUUGCUCAUUUUGCACAAAGAAACAGGAGUAAGCAAGGUGUUUAUACGUGUUGUGUUCCAUUAAUGAACCUUUCGUUAUUUUACAUUGUGAAGAAUGUUUGUUUUCUUUAAAAGUGAACUGCUGACCACA
rnacentral:lncRNA from 1 species